rnacentral:rRNA from 1 species
UACGGAGGGUGCAAACGUUGCUCGGAAUCAUUGGGCGUAAAGCGCACGUAGGCGGUCCAGCAAGUCGGGUGUGAAAGCCCUCGGCUUAACCGAGGAAGUGCAUUCGAAACUACUGGACUUGAAUACUGGAGAGGAUCGCGGAAUUCCCGGUGUAGAGGUGAAAUUCGUAGAUAUUCGCAAGAACACCAGUGGCGAAGGCGGCUCACUGGUCCAUAACUGACGCUGAGGCACGAAAGCGUGGGGAGCAAACAGG